rnacentral:rRNA from 1 species
CCUACGGGAGGCAGCAGUGAGGAAUAUUGGUCAAUGGACGAGAGUCUGAACCAGCCAAGUAGCGUGAAGGAUGACUGCCCUAUGGGUUGUAAACUUCUUUUAUAAAGGAAUAAAACGAGGCACGUGUGCCUUUUUGCAUGUACGUUAUGAAUAAGGAUCGGCUAACUCCGUGCCAGCAGCCGCGGUAAUACGGAGGAUCCGAGCGUUAUCCGGAUUUAUUGGGUUUAAAGGGAGCGUAGAUGGGUUGUUAAGUCAGUUGUGAAAGUUUGCGGCUCAACCGUAAAAUUGCCAUUGAUACUGGCAGUCUUGCUUACAGUUGAGGUAGGCGGCAUUCGUGGUGUAGCGGU